UGGCUCAGGAUGAACGCUAGCGGCAGGCCUAAUACAUGCAAGUCGGACGGGAUUGGAACCAGAGCUUGCUCUGAUUCCAUGAGAGUGGCGCACGGGUGCGUAACGCGUGAGCAACCUACCUCUAUCAGGGGGAUAGCCUCUCGAAAGAGAGAUUAAGACCGCAUAAUAUAAUUUUCCGGCAUCGGGAGAUUAUUAAAUAUUUAUAGGAUAGAGAUGGGCUCGCGUGACAUUAGCUAGUUGGUAGGGUAACGGCCUACCAAGGCGACGAUGUCUAGGGGCUCUGAGAGGAGAAUCCCCCACACUGGUACUGAGACACGGACCAGACUCCUACGGGAGGCAGCAGUAAGGAAUAUUGGUCAAUGGGCGGAAGCCUGAACCAGCCAUGCCGCGUGCAGGAUGACUGCCCUAUGGGUUGUAAACUGCUUUUGUCCAGGAAUAAACCUUUCUACGUGUAGAGAGCUGAAUGUACUGGAAGAAUAAGGAUCGGCUAACUCCGUGCCAGCAGCCGCGGUAAUACGGAGGAUCCGAGCGUUAUCCGGAUUUAUUGGGUUUAAAGGGUGCGUAGGCGGCCUAUUAAGUCAGGGGUGAAAUACGGUGGCUCAACCAUCGCAGUGCCUUUGAUACUGAUGGGCUUGAAUCCAUUUGAAGUGGGCGGAAUAAGACAAGUAGCGGUGAAAUGCAUAGAUAUGUCUUAGAACUCCGAUUGCGAAGGCAGCUCACUAAGCUGGUAUUGACGCUGAUGCACGAAAGCGUGGGGAUCGAACAGGAUUAGAUACCCUGGUAGUCCACGCCCUAAACGAUGAUAACUCGAUGUUGGCGAUAGACAGCCAGCGUCUUAGCGAAAGCGUUAAGUUAUCCACCUGGGGAGUACGCCCGCAAGGGUGAAACUCAAAGGAAUUGACGGGGGCCCGCACAAGCGGAGGAGCAUGUGGUUUAAUUCGAUGAUACGCGAGGAACCUUACCCGGGCUUGAAAGUUAGUGAAGAGACCAGAGACGGUCUCGUCCUUCGGGACACGAAACUAGGUGCUGCAUGGCUGUCGUCAGCUCGUGCCGUGAGGUGUUGGGUUAAGUCCCGCAACGAGCGCAACCCCUAUGUUUAGUUGCCAGCAUGUAAUGGUGGGGACUCUAAACAGACUGCCUGUGCAAACAGUGAGGAAGGUGGGGACGACGUCAAGUCAUCAUGGCCCUUACGUCCGGGGCUACACACGUGCUACAAUGGAUGGUACAGCGGGCAGCUACAUAGCAAUAUGAUGCUAAUCUCUAAAAGCCAUUCACAGUUCGGAUUGGGGUCUGCAACUCGACCCCAUGAAGUUGGAUUCGCUAGUAAUCGCGUAUCAGCAAUGACGCGGUGAAUACGUUCCCGGGCAUUGUACACACCGCCCGUCAAGCCAUGAAAGUUGGGGGUACCUAAAGCAUGUGACC
rnacentral:rRNA from 1 species